UACGUAGGGGGCAAGCGUUGUCCGGAAUUAUUGGGCGUAAAGCGCGCGCAGGCGGCCUUGUAAGUCUGUUGUUUAAACUCGGGGCUCAACCCCGAGUCGCAAUGGAAACUGCAAAGCUUGAGUACAGAAGAGGAAAGUGGAAUUCCACGUGUAGCGGUGAAAUGCGUAGAGAUGUGGAGGAACACCAGUGGCGAAGGCGACUUUCUGGGCUGUAACUGACGCUGAGGCGCGAAAGCGUGGGGAGCAAACAGGAUUAGAUACCCCCGUAGUCC
rnacentral:rRNA from 1 species